rnacentral:rRNA from 1 species
GACGAACGCUGGCGGCGUGCUUAACACAUGCGAGUCGAACGGAAAGGCCCUGCUUUUGUGGGGUGCUCGAGUGGCGAACGGGUGAGUAACACGUGAGUAACCUGCCCUUGACUUUGGGAUAACUUCAGGAAACUGGGGCUAAUACCGGAUAGGAGCUCCUGCUGCAUGGUGGGGGUUGGAAAGUUUCGGCGGUUGGUGAUGGACUCGCGGCUUAUCAGCUUGUUGGUGGGGUAGUGGCUUACCAAGGCUUUGACGGGUAGCCGGCCUGAGAGGGUGACCGGCCACAUUGGGACUAAGAUACGGCCCAGACUCCUACGGGAGGCAGCAGUUGGGAAUAUUGCACAAUGGGCGGAAGCCUGAUGCAGCAACGCCGCGUGCGGGAUGACGGCCUUCGGGUUGUAAACCGCUUUCGCCUGUGACGAAGCGUGAGUGACGGUAAUGGGUAAAGAAGCACCGGCUAACUACGUG